rnacentral:rRNA from 1 species
UGGGGAAUAUUGGACAAUGGGCGAAAGCCUGAUCCAGCCAUGUCGCGUGUGUGAAGAAGGUCUUCGGAUUGUAAAGCACUUUAAGUUGGGAGGAAGGGCAGUAAGCGAAUACCUUGCUGUUUUGACGUUACCGACAGAAUAAGCACCGGCUAACUCUGUGCCAGCAGCCGCGGUAAUACAGAGGGUGCAAGCGUUAAUCGGAAUUACUGGGCGUAAAGCGCGCGGAGGUGGUUCGUUAAGUUGAAUGUGAAAGCCCCGGGCUCAACCUGGGAACUGCAUCCAAAACUGGCGGGCUAGAGUAGGGCAGAGGGUGGUGGAAUUUCCUGUGUAGCGGUGAAAUGCGUAGAUAUAGGAAGGAACACCAGUGGCGAAGGCGACCACCUGGGCUCAUACUGACACUGAGGUGCGAAAGCGUGGGGAGCAAACAGG